rnacentral:rRNA from 1 species
GAUUUCUGGUGUGAUGCGCCUGACCCACCCACAUCAGUGGCGUGAGUGUCGGAGCGCGUCUGCCAUCCUUCUAGAGAACGACUCUGUCCUUCACUGGAUGGGGCCGCGAUCUAGAUCUUUUACUUUGAAAAAAUUAGAGUGUUUAAAGCAGGCUUGCGCUAUGAAUACAUUAGCAUGGAAUAAUAAUUUAGGACUUUGUUCCUAUUUUGUUGGUUUCUAGGGAUGAAGUAAUGAUUGAUAGGGGCAGUUGGGGGUGCUAGUAUUCAGCGGCCAGAGGUGAAAUUCUUGGAUUCGGUCAAGACUAACUUAUGCGAAAGCAUU